rnacentral:rRNA from 1 species
CAAUAGCGUAUAUUUAAGUUGUUGCAGUUAAAAAGCUCGUAGUUGGAUUUCGGGCGUGGCAGGCCGGUCCGCCUUUGAGGUGAGCACUGGCAGGCGGCGUCUUUCUGUCGAGGACGCGCUCCUGCUGUUUAUUCAGCGGGACGCGGAGUCGGCGACGUUACUUUGAAAAAUUAGAGUGUUCAAAGCGGGCCUACGCUUGAAUAUAUUAGCAUGGAAUAAUAAGAUAUGACUUUGGUCUAUUUGUUGGUUUGCUUUCCAAGUAAUGAUUAAUAGGGAUAGUUGGGGGUAUUCGUAUUCAAUUGUCAGAGGUGAAAUUCUUGGAUUUAUGGAAGACGAACUACUGCGAAAGCAUUUACCAAGGAUGUUUUUCAUUAAUCAAGAACGAAAGUUAGGGGAUCGAAGAUGAUCAGAU